GGGAAGUUACCACACUGGACUCUUAAGUCCUCCUGCAUUUCAAAAUUACAGGAUUUUAUAUUUCUAAUUAGAAGCCUGGUGAAAUCUUAGGUGGGUAAGAGUUGAAAGUAUAUGCAUUCCAAAAGUCAGUUUAUCUUGAAUUGUCCUUAUCCUGAGAAGUAAA
rnacentral:misc_RNA from 1 species